ensembl:lncRNA
CAGAAGCACGUGCCGGACACGCCGGAACCAACUCCCGGACAGACCAGAACCACCUGCCAGACUCGUGGUAACCACCUGCUCGACGUGCCAGAACCACCUGCCAGAAACACCAAAAUCACCUGCCGGCUACGCCAGAACCACUUGGCAGACACUCUGGAAUCACCUGCCGGGCAUGUCGGAACCACAUCUAAGACGUGCCAGAACCAUGUGCCAGACACGCAGGAACCACCUGCCAGACAGACCGGACCCACGUGCCGAAUCUGCCUGAAUCACCUGUCGAGCACGCCAGAACCACCUGCUCGAUUCGCCAGAACCACCUGCCAGACACGCCAAAAUCACCUGCGGGCUACGCCGGAACCACUUGGAGGACUCUCCGGGAUCACCUGCCGGGCAUGCUGGAGCCACCUCUCAGAUGUGGCAGAACCAUGUGCCGGACAGGCCGGAACCACCUUCCAAGUAUGCCAGAACCACCUUAUGCAAUCCCCAUAACCACCUGCUGGACACGCCUGAACCACCUGUCGAGCAUGCAGGAACCAACUGCUCGACUCACAGGACCCACCUGCCAGACACGCCAAAAUCACCUGCCGGACACGCAGGAACCACCUCCCGGACACAUCGGAACCACCUACCAGACCUGCCUGAACAACCUGCCGAGCACGCCGGAACCACCUGCCGGACAUGCCAAAAUCACCGGCCGGCUACGCCAGAACCACUUGGAGGACUCUCUGGGAUCACCUGCCAGACAUGCCAGAACCAUGUGCCAGACACGCAGGAACCACCUCCCAGAGAGUCCGGAACCAUCUGCCGAGCACUCUGGAACCACCUGCUCGACUCGCCGGAACCGUCUGCCGGACACGCCAAAAUCACCUGCCAGCUAUGCCAGAACCACUUGGUGGACACUCCGGAAUCAACUGCUGGGAAUGCCGGAACCACUUCUCAGAAAUGCCAGAACCACCUGCCGGACAUGCCUGAACCACCUUCCGUACAGACCAGAACCACCUGUUGGACACGUCUGAACCACCUGCUGAGCACUCCAGAACCGUCUGCUCGACUCGCCGGAACCAUCUGCCGGACACGCCAAAAUCACCUGUCGGCUACGCCAGAACCACAUAGUGGACAAUCUGGAAUCACGUGCUGGGCAUGUCAGAACCACCUCUCAGACGUGCCAGAACCACGUGCCGGAGACGCCAGAAGCUCCUGCCAAACUUGCCCAAACCACAUGCUCGACUCGCCGGAACCACCUGCCAGACACGCCAAGAUAACCUGCAGGCUAUGCCAGAACCACUUGGAGGACUCUCCGGAAUCACCUGCUGGGCAUGCCAGAACCACCUCUCAGAUGUACCCGAACCACGUGCCGGAGAUAACAGAAGCACGUGCCGAGCUCGCCCAAACCACUUGCUUGACUCGCCAGCACCACCUGCCAGACAUGCCAAAAUCACUUGCCGGCUACGCCAGAACCACUUUGUGGACAAUCCAGAAUCACAUGGCGGGCAUGUCGGAACCACCUCUCAGACAGGCCAGAAGCACGUGCCGGACACGCUGGAACCACCUGCUCGACUCACCGGAACCACUGCUGGACACGCAAAAUCACCGGCCGGCUAUGCCAGAACCACUUGGCGGACACACCGGAAUCACCUGCUGGGCGUGCCAGAACCUCCUGUCAGACAUGCCAGAACCACCUGCCAAAGACACCAGGAGCACCAGCCGAGCAUGCCAGAACCACCUGCUCGACUCGCUGGAAGCACCUUCCAGACACGCUGAAAUCACAUGCCGUCUAUGCCAGUACCACUUGCUGGACUCUCUGGAAUCACCUGCCGGGCAUGCCAGAACCACCGCUGAGAUGCGCCGGAACCACGUGCCGG